CUCUGAUCCAGAGUACCACGAGACACGUGAAACCUUGUGGGAAGCAGGGAGGACCACCUCCCAAGGCUAAAUACUACCUGAUGACCGAUAGUGAAGCAGUACCGUGAGGGAAAGGUGAAAAGAACCCCGGGAGGGGAGUGAAAUAGAACCUGAAACCGUGUGCCUACAACCGGUCAAAGCCCCAUAUGAGGGUGAUGACGUGCUUUUUGUAGAACGAGCCAACGAGUUACGGUAUGUAGCAAGGUUAAGUACUUAAGGUACGGAGCCGAAGGGAAACCGAGUCUUAAUAGGGCGACUAGUUGCAUGCCGUAGACCCGAAACCGGGUGACCUAUCCAUGGCCAGGUUGAAGCGAGGGUAAAACUUCGUGGAGGACCGAACCACGUUGCUGUUGAAAAAGCAUGGGAUGAGCUGUGGAUAGCGGAGAAAUUCCAAUCGAACUCGGAGAUAGCUGGUUCUCCCCGAAAUAGCUUUAGGGCUAGCGUCGGAUAUGUGUAGUGGAGGUAGAGCACUGAAUGGGCUAGGGGGCAUAUCGCUUACCGAACCUUAUCAAACUCCGAAUGCCAUAUACAUUUAGUCCGGCAGUCAGACUACGAAUGAUAAGAUCCGUGGUCAAAAGGGAAACAGCCCAGAUCGUCAGCUAAGGUCCCAAAGUGUAAGUUAAGUGGAAAAGGAUGUGGGAUUUCUAAGACAACUAGGAUGUUGGCUUAGAAGCAGCCACUCAUUUAAAGAGUGCGUAAUAGCUCACUAGUCGAGAGAUCCUGCGCCGAAAAUGUCCGGGGCUCAAACUUACCACCGAAGCUACGGGCUUGCGUAAGCAAGCGGUAGGGGAGCGUCGUAAUCGGGCUGAAGUCGUACCGUAAGGAGCGGUGGACUGAUUACGAGUGAGAAUGUUGGCAUUAGUAGCGAGAUGUAGGUGAGAAUCCUACAGGCCGAAUAUCUAAGGUUUCCUCAGGAAGGCUCGUCCGCUGAGGGUUAGUCGGGACCUAAGCCGAGGCCGAAAGGCGUAGGCGAUGGACAAUCGGUUGAUAUUCCGAUACCACUACCAUCGUUAUUAUCGAGGGUGUGACGGAGAAGGAUAGUGUGUGCUAGCGAUUGGAAAUGCUAGUCUAAGCGUUUAGGGAGUUACGGUAGGCAAAUCCGCUGUAACAAUUCUGAGGCGUGAUGGGGAAGGCCAUAUAGGCCGAAGUACAUGAUUCCAUGCUUCCAAGAAAAGCAUCUAGAGAGAGAAGUAGUGCCCGUACCGCAAACCGACACAGGUAGAUGAGGAGAGAAUCCUAAGGCCGGCGGAAGAAUUGCAGUUAAGGAACUAGGCAAAUUGACCCCGUAAGUUCGCGAGAAGGGGUGCCUGCGAGAGCAGGCCGCAGAGAAUAGGCCCAAGCAACUGUUUAGCAAAAACACAGGUCUCUGCUAAAGCGUAAGCUGAUGUAUAGGGGCUGACGCCUGCCCGGUGCUGGAAGGUUAAGGGGAACACUUAGCGCAAGCGAAGGUGUGAACUUAAGCCCCAGUAAACGGCGGCCGUAACUAUAACGGUCCUAAGGUAGCGAAAUUCCUUGUCAGGUAAGUUCUGACCCGCACGAAUGGCGUAAUGACUUGGGCACUGUCUCAACUGCAAAUCCGGCGAAGUUGUAGUGCGAGUGAAGAUGCUCGCUACCCGCGAUUGGACGGAAAGACCCCGUAGAGCUUUACUGUAGCUUAGCAUUGAAUUCCGGUAUUGUCUGUACAGGAUAGGUGGGAGACUGGGAAACUAGGGCGUCAGCCUUAGUGGAGUCAACCUUGGGAUACCACCCUGACAGUACUGGGGUUCUAACAGGACGCCAUGAAUCUGGUGACUGGACAUUGUUAGGUGGGCAGUUUGACUGGGGCGGU
rnacentral:rRNA from 1 species